CCUACGGGAGACAGCAGUGGGGGAUAGUGGACAAUGGGGGGAACCCUGAUCCAGCGACGCCGCGUGAGUGAAGAAGGAUUUCGGUAUGUAAAGCUCUGUCAGCAGGGAAGAAAAAAGACGGUACCUGACGAAGAAGCCCCGGCUAACUACGUGCCAGCAGCCGCGGUAAUACGAAGGGGGCAAGCGUUAUCCGGAUUUACGGGGUGUAAAGGGAGCGUAGACGGCGCGGCAAGUCUGAAGUGAAAGGCAGGGGCUUAACCCCUGAACUGCUUUGGAAACUGCCAUGCUAGAGUGCUGGAGAGGUAAGUGGAAUUCCUAGUGUAGCGGUGAAAUGCGUAGAUAUUAGGAGGAACACCAGUGGCGACGGCGGCUUACUGGACCGUAACUGACGUUGAGGCUCGAAAGCGUGGGGAGCAAACAGGAUUAGAUACCCCAGUAGUC
rnacentral:rRNA from 1 species